AGUGAACGCUGGCGGUAGGCCUAACACAUGCCAGUCGAACGGCAGCACAGUAAGAGCUUGCUCUUACGGGUGGCGAGUGGCGGACGGGUGAGGAAUACAUCGGAAUCUACUUUUUCGUGGGGGAUAACGUAGGGAAACUUACGCUAAUACCGCAUACGACCUACGGGUGAAAGCAGGGGAUCUUCGGACCUUGCGCGAUUGAAUGAGCCGAUGUCGGAUUAGCUAGUUGGCGGGGUAAAGGCCCACCAAGGCGACGAUCCGUAGCUGGUCUGAGAGGAUGAUCAGCCACACUGGAACUGAGACACGGUCCAGACUCCUACGGGAGGCAGCAGUGGGGAAUAUUGGACAAUGGGCGCAAGCCUGAUCCAGCCAUACCGCGUGGGUGAAGAAGGCCUUCGGGUUGUAAAGCCCUUUUGUUGGGAAAGAAAAGCAGCAGGUUAAUACCCCGCUGUUCGGACGGUACCCAAAGAAUAAGCACCGGCUAACUUAGU
rnacentral:rRNA from 1 species